CUAGCCAUCAACCCAAGUAGCGACAUCAACCACACCUACUCGCCAGAGAAUUACUAGCGAAAGCUUAAAACUCAAAAGACUUGACGGUAACCCAAACCAACCUAGAGGAGCCUGUCCUUUAAUCGAUAGUCCACGAUACACCUCACCCCCCCAACCCCAGCCUAUAUACCGCCGUCUCCAGCCUACCUAAUGAUAGAAAAAAAGUAGGUGCUAUAGUGCCCCACUAAUACGUCAGGUCAAGGUGUAGCUAAUGGGGGGGGCAGAGAUGGGCUACAUUUUCUAACACAUAGACCAUACCCUAGGCCCCAUGAAAUUAACCCGAAAGGCGGAUUUAGCAGUAAGUAUGGCAAGAUAUGCCUAACUGAAGCCUGCUCUGGGUUGC
rnacentral:rRNA from 1 species